CAGAUAUUCACCUUCCUUCUUCAGGCGCCCACUACCUCUCCUUCUCCCUCCGCCGUGUUCACCGUUCACCGUAGCCUCCCACUUCACUUCCAUCGACACAGCCGUGACCGUCACCUCCUCCUUCUCUCCCCUCGGCCGUUCCUUUCCUCUCCUUCAGCCGUGACAGCCACAUCCCUCACUUCAAUGUCUCCGCCGUUCGUCGCCUCCUCCAUUCACUGCUCCAAGUCGUCGAUCUUUAGGGUGCCGUCUACUAUCAGUGUUCGCAGUGUCGUCAUUUUUUUCAGAACUCCACAUCUCGCCACUGCCAUUUCCUCUUCUCUUUACUGUCACCCUGCUGUCCACUACUACUGCUGAGUAAUCGGAGUUCCGCGUUUCUGUUUGUGCUCCAACUCGUGUCCUUUACACGAGCUCCAUUUUUCAUUGUGCUAGUUCUUAGUCUGUACGGUUCAGGCGCUACAAUCUGAAAUUUGCUCUCAUAUUCUGAGACAUUUGGAUGCUCUUAUCUUGUUAUCUGCUGGUGGAUGACAUGCUGUGACUCGUGAUUUUGAGUGGGAGAUGUUCUUUUGGUAAUAUUAUGAGCUGUUCACCUCCAAAUGUUGGCAUGGUUCUUGCUUCUGAACUUGGCUGUUCUUCUUGAUUAAAUUUUGUCAUUGGACUGAUGCUGUGAUGGUUAAUUACUGUGACUUGAGCCGGCUUUUCUUCUGUUUGUUUGCUAGGGAUGGCUAAAAAAGGGCAAAGUUCCACAGCUAAACGCUAGGGUGCCCCAAGCUCUUCCUCAACUCAGAAAGCGACUAAGAAAUCUAACAAAACCCACAUCUUCUGCACAAAGGCUACUUCCUGGGGCCUUUUAACUUGUGGAUCAAGCAGCAGUUGGAGUCCAUAGAAGAUGCCAUUGACCGGGUGGAACAGAAUCAAUGCUUAAUCAUGCAACAUUUACGCAUACCAGGUUUUGACCUGCCUGUUCCAUCUGUGGCUCCUUCUCUUGUUCCAUUCAUGGAUCCCUCUCAUGUUGAUCCUACCACUGAUUUAAGCUUCUAUUCAGUUUGACCUUUGUUUCUCUCUGUUUUGCACUUUUGGUUUAUUUGUUUUUUGUUCCUUUUUGUUAUUUUGCUGCUUUUGUGACUGUUUAAUUUGAUAUUUUGGGUUGUGACUGAUAUUUCACAACUUCCUACUUGCUAGUCUGUAUCCAACUUUUUGGUUUACUCUCCAAUUUAUCCACUUCUCUAUUUGAUGUAAUUAGCAGGUAUUAUAUUCUCUUGAAGAUAUGCCACUCAUCUUUGUCUUUGAGUCUUUUUGUUUCUCAACUCGCAAUGUCUGUCGGUUAGGGGAGUUUUAGUGUCCUUUUCUCCUUGUUAUUCUAUCUUUAAACAUUGGAAACAAUGUCUAAUUUAAUUGUGGGGGGAGGUUUAUUAUAUGCAGCUAUGCAUUUUGAAUAGUUGCUUGUUUGUAGUUUCUCUAUUUUUGAUUUGUUUUGUUUAAAAAAAGAAGAAAAAAAUGUUGUUAUUUUGUUUGAAGUGUCUUCUGUCAUUUGGUGCAUUGCUUAAGAUGGAGUUUGACUUUGGUUCCUCAACAACUUAGGGAGUGUUAUUGAAUCAUAAUCAAAAUAGAAAAAGAAUGUUCUUACUAAGCCUUUGAGCCUUAAUCUUGAGCGGGAUUCUUUUGAUGAAUUAUGAUUAAAGUGUUAGUUUCUAAUAAGAUGAACAAAGGAUUAGUGUAUCUAAAUUUUGUUAUUCAUUUGUUUGGGGUGAUUUGUGUUGACCUUCACAAGCUAAGUAAAACUUUGGAUUAAGGAGAUGACUUAGGCGUGAAGUAUAGAAAAAAUGAUGAAUAAAUUCUACUCCACUGAUUGAAGCUACUUAAUAACUGGGGAUUUGAACCAAAAAGUGAAUUUUCACGUCCAAUGGUAGUGGAUAUUAUGAAUAAAUUUUGUUUGCUUGGUUUGAGUAAUUGGGUGACUUUAUCACCAAUGUUGUCAUUCGCGUCUAAAAGAUCAAGAGAAAUGAAAAAGAGAUACUUAAAAAAAAAAUAGAGGAAAUAAAACUUGAGGAUCUUUAUUGUGUUGCUUGUAACCUUAGUGCAUGUUUAGAUUAACUUCUAACCUUAGUUAGAAUGGACCAAAUUGAGGUUAGGAUAUAAAAAGCCCAUUUUGUGUUUGGAUUAGCAAAAAUUUUCAACCUCAGUUAGUUGUAAACAAGCGUUUUUUUUUUUUUUGGAAGCCCUCAGACUUGGCUUUUGCCUCAAUGUUAAUGUUGCUGGCUGUUGGAAGCAUUAAUUAUGUUUUAAAUUUUUAUUCUUUCUCUCUCUUCUCAUCUAUCUACCCACGAGGCUCUACUUUUUUAACCUUGCUGUGUGUGGUCCUUUGUUCCUCUCGUGACCUUUCAAGCUCUACCCUCUAUCUACUUCACCUUCCACUGCUUCACCUUCUAUUGCUUAUAGGUGGCACCAUCCAGCAGCCAAUCUCCACUGUAUUGAAGCACCAAGAUCUUCACCUUCCGAUCUUGCAUCUAGCGUGUCCCUAUUCCAAAGUGGUUUUAUCCCUAUUGCCUUUCGAUCUCCACCAUGUCCACCAGAUUUGUAGUUCCUGUUGCCGGAUCUACUCCCCAUUGACUGUUCUUGUCAAGUGAGGUUCUUCUUUUCGUCUCCUUCAUACCUUCCUUGCUGUCAUGCUUUGUCUACAAGUGGCCGCAUACCAGAUUCACAUCUUUGAUCCAUUCCAAACCUUUGUUGUGUGAGUAUGAUGCUUUGGAUCAUCCCAAACAUUCACAUCUUUGUCGUGUUUUUCUUGUUUUUUUUUUUCCUUGACUGAAUGGUUGGUGAUAAUUCUUGGCAGGAGUUUCUGAUGAUCCUUGGAUAAAUGAGAAAUAAGGAUAUCAUCCAACCUUUACCUUCAUCUUGUUGACUGAAUGCUUGUUUGUUAACUUUAUGUUCAUCUUAGGUAUACGACUUUUUUCUCUUCUGUGCAAUUUGUUCCUCUGUAAUUCGAGUUUUUUUUUUUGGCUUGUUUUGUUGUUGUUAUGCAGUCCUCAAAUUCUUGUACUUGUCCUUUCUUGGAACUCAGGUCUGUUUGUGCUUGAAUUCUUUUUUGAAAUGCAGGUAACAUAAGUAGAAAUGCCCAUGGAGUUUUUUGAUUCUGUAACUUUGGACAUUUUUGAGAAACUUUGGUUCAUUUAUUUUGGAUGAAGAAUCAAAAUUGGGAUCUGAUUGUUAUUUCCUUGCUUUUCUUUGGAUGUAUCUUGUCCUUGAACUCUUAAGCUGAAUCCAUGCAUAGUCCCUAAUUAGAAUACAAUUCCCUUGGUUUUUUGGCCAUCGAUAUGUUAUUUAUUGUUCUUUGAUUUUUUCCUUCUUUCCUAUUGAUUUAGAUUUGAACUUUUCCCUGGCGGGUCCAAGAGUCUAGUAAAGCUUCACCAUUUAUUUUCUGUGGUAUAAACUUCCAAUGAGAUUCAUAUGAUUCAUACUCUGUUUUGUAUACAUAUAUCAUUGUCUACAAAUUUUGUGCGAAAAUAACAGUGUUUAGUCUCACUACUCUAUAGGGUUUAAUUGUGUGUCCAUCUAUAAAUGAACAGAAUGUGUGUCUCUUGCUUCGAGUAUGAUAACAAAUCUCUAAUUUAUUUUUUUCAACUCCUCCUCUUCUGUCAAGGUGAUAAAGUUUCAGGUGUAAAUCUCUUGGUAAGAUUUCUUAUACGCAAUCCUUCUUGUCUUGUGCAUGUUGGGGAACUGGGAUACUAAUUCCAUAAAACAUUAGCAACGUGGGCAGUUCCUUCCUUGUUUUAGGAUUAUUAUUUUCUUUUAGUUUCUCUGUGACUCUAGGUUGUGAUGGUAAAUUGAUACAUGUAUGUAGAUAUAUUUAUUGAUUUUGUAUGUUUGUGAUGGCUGGCUAGACUAUAGAAAAAUGAACAGCGACAAAGGAAAAGUUGUGUGGAAUUUAACCUUGGCAGAAAUUUUUAUUAAGGAAUGCUUGGAACAAGUGUACAAGAAACAAAGAAAAGGAACUGCUUUCAACAAAAAUAAUUGGCAAGCAAUUAUAGAGGGGUUUGAGGCAAAACAGAAAAAAAGUAUGAGCAUAAGCAAUUGAAAAAUAAGCUGGACAACAUGAGGAAGGAAUGGAACAUAUGGUAUAAGUUAUUUUCUAGUGAAAUUAGCUUAGGAUGGGACAUGUCAAGAAUACUGUUGAUGCUUUGGAUGAGUGGUGGGAGCGAAAAAUUUUGGUAUGAAUUAGUUAUUAAGUGUUUUUUAGACUAGAAUUUAAUUUGAGAAUUUUAAUUGUUGGUUAUUGGAAUUCUUGCAAGAAAAUCCCCUAUACGAAAAAUUUAGAUAUAAAGGGUUGAGGUUUGCAAGGGAAUUGACCUUGAUAUUCAAGGAUGUCAUGGCAACUGGGGAGAUAUUUUUUGUACCAUUUGCUACUUAGAUCCAAACAAAGGAUGAUGAUGAUGAGGAUGUGUACCGUUCCACCAUUGACCUUCAAGAAGGAUUUGGUGAUAGUGAAGAGAAGCUGAAUUUAUCUAAUACUGCAACACCUACGAGGGUCAUUAAUGAGCUAUUGAGAUUGAUUGUGACCACAAAUACUAGUGGAACUAGUGGUGAUGAAAGUCAAGGUAAAAGAAAGAAAGUUAGAGGAGUUGGUGGAAGGAAAAAGCAAAAAGUUUCUGCUUCAAUGAAAAUAGCAGAUGCUAUGAGUGAAAUAGUUAAGGAAAAUAAAGCGAAAACAGAGACAGUGAACAAGAUUUUGACAAAUGACAUAGGAGUUUCUGAGGUUGUAGCUCACUUAAAUGGACUUCCAGAAGUUUUUGGUGAUAACGAUUUACAUUGAAGAUGUGUUAAUCUUGUUUUGUAUAAACCUAUACGGGAUGCUUAUUGGCAACUUAAAGAUCAUCCUGAUCAUUUGAUCAAUUGGUUGAAGCAUCAAGUCCACAAUCUACCGAAUUUUAUUUCAAAGAAUAUAUUUGGAUAAUAUUUAUAUAGGCUUAUGAUGACUUGACUUGUGUUUGACUUAUAAUUGCUUUAUUUUGACUUGUAGUUUGCUA